rnacentral:lncRNA from 1 species
UUGUGGACUUUCAGGAACAGAGUCGAUGAUAGAAGUAACCUUCUUCUGUAGCUCAGGCUUGUUAGCUCCAACAAGCUUGCCUAUUUGCUCCCCGUUCUUUAGAAAGAAGAAGGUUGGUGUUGCCUUUAUGUCCCAUGUUGAGCUAAAAUCCUGCACAAAAAUAAUAAUAACACAUGAGAGAUAUUUGUUGAAGUUGUAAAUAUUAGGGAAUUAAUGAUGGUGGGUACUUACACUAAGUUCAUCAACAUCUACGAGAAGGAACAUAAGAGAAGGAUGUUUCUCAGAGAGCUCCACGUAAAACGGUGCCACAAU